GGACCUGACUGCUAUCGCAUUCAUAAUAAGCCAUGUGAGUCUUUGCAGCAAUACAAGGCAUACGGCUCAGUAACACGUAGUCAAUCUAACCUAUGGACGGGGAUAACCUCGGGAAACUGAGAAUAAUACCCGAUAGAUCAUUAUGCCUGGAAUGGUUUAUGGUUCAAAUGAUUCGUUCGCCGUAGGAUGGGACUGCGACCUAUCAGUUUGUUGGUGAGGUAAUGGCCCACCAAGACUAUUACAGGUACGGGCUCUGAGAGGAGAAGCCCGGAGAUGGGUAUUGAGACACGGACCCAGGCCCUAUGGGGCGCAGCAGGCGAGAAAACUUUGCAAUGUGCGAAAGCACGACAAGGUUAAUCCGAGUGGUUCCUGCUAAAGGAACCUUUUGUUAGUCGUAAAACCACUGAUGAAUAAGGGGUGGGCAAGUUCUGGUGUCAGCCA
rnacentral:rRNA from 1 species